UGUAUCCCAAGGCGCGUGAGAGAACCCUGGUUAAGGAACUAGGCAAAAUAACACCGUAACUUCGGGAGAAGGUGUGCCGUUGAUGGUGAAGCCCUCCUCGGGCCGAGCUGUUGGCGGUUGCAGCGAAAUGGGGAUUGUGACUGUUUACUAAAAACAUAGGACUCUGCAAAGUCGAAAGACGACGUAUAGGGUCUGAUGCCUGCCCGGUGCUGGAAGGUUAAGGGGAAGUGUCAGCGCAAGCGAAGCACCCAACCGAAGCCCCAGUAAACGGCGGCCGUAACAAUAACGGUCCUAAGGUAGCGAAAUUCCUUGUCGGGUAAGUUCCGACCUGCACGAAUGGCAUAACAACAUUCCCGCUGUCUCAACCAGGGACUCAGCGAAAUUGCAUAGGGGGUGAAGAUGCCCUCUACCCGCGGCAAGACGAAAGACCCCAUGAACCUUUACUGCAACUUGGCAGUGAACUUCGGGAUGUUCUGCGUAGGAUAGGUGGGAGGCGUUGAAGCCGGGCUUCCGGGUUCGGCAGAGCCACCGUUGAAAUACCACCCUGAACAUUCUGGGGUUCUAACCUAGGCCCGUGAUCCGGGUCGGGGACACUGCCUGGUAGGCAGUUUGACUGGGGCGGUCGCCUCCAAAAUCGUAACGGAGGCGUGCGAAGGUUCCCUCAGCCUGAUUGGAAACCAGGCGUAGAGUGCAAACGCAUAAGGGAGCUUGACUGUGAGACCGACAGGUCGAGCAGGUGCGAAAGCAGGUGUUAGUGAUCCGGUGGUUCCUGAUGGAAGGGCCAUCGCUCAACGGAUAAAAGGUACUCUGGGGAUAACAGGCUGAUCGCGCCUGAGAGUUCACAUCGGCGGCGCGGUUUGGCACCUCGAUGUCGGCUCAUCGCAUCCUGGGGCUGGAGCAGGUCCCAAGGGUUUGGCUGUUCGCCAAUUAAAGCGGUACGCGAGCUGGGUUUAGAACGUCGUGAGACAGUUCGGUCCCUAUCUGCCGUGGGCGUAGGACACUUGAGAGGAGUUCCCAUAGUACGAGAGGACCUGGGUGAACGUACCCCUGGUGAUCCGGUUGUUCUGCCAAGAGCAUUGCCGGGUAGCUACGUACGGAACGGAUAACCGCUGAAAGCAUCUAAGCGGGAAGCCGGCCUCAAGACUAGGUGUCCCGUCGAAAGACCUAAAGGCUCCAUGUAGACCACGUGGUAAUAGGCUGGGUGUGAAAGCGUAGCAAUGCGCGGAGCUAACCAGUACUAAUAAGCCGUGAGGCUUGACCGA
rnacentral:rRNA from 1 species